CCCUUAGAUGUUCUGGGCUGCACGCGCGCUACACUGAUGCGCUCAACGAGUUUACGACCUUGCCCGGAAGGGUUGGGUAAUCUUUUUAAAACGCAUCGUGAUGGGGAUAGAUUAUUGCAAUUAUUAAUCUUCAACGAGGAAUGCCUAGUAAGCGCAAGUCAUCAGCUUGCGUUGAUUACGUCCCUGCCCUUUGUACACACCGCCCGUCGCUCCUACCGAUUGAAUGGUCCGGUGAAGCGUUCGGACCGUGGCCUUUGGACGGUUCGCCGUCUGUUGGCUGCGGGAAGUUCGUUAAACCUUAUCAUUUAGAGGAAGGAGAAGUCGUAACA
rnacentral:rRNA from 1 species